rnacentral:rRNA from 1 species
CCUACGGGUGGCAGCAGUGGGGAAUAUUGCACAAUGGGGGAAACCCUGAUGCAGCGACGCCGCGUGAGCGAAGAAGUAAUUCGUUACGUAAAGCUCUAUCAGCAGGGAAGAAAAUGACGGUACCUGAGUAAGAAGCCCCGGCUAACUACGUGCCAGCAGCCGCGGUAAUACGUAGGGGGCAAGCGUUAUCCGGAUUUACUGGGUGUAAAGGGAGCGUAGACGGUGCGCCAAGUCUGGAGUGAAAUGCCGCGGCUUAACUGCGGAACUGCUUUGGAAACUGGCGAACGAGAGUGCGGGAGGGGUAAGCGGAAUUCCUGGGGUAGCGGUGAAAGGCGUAGAUAUUAGGAGGAACACCGGUGGCGAAGGCGGCUUAUUGGACCGUAACUGACGUUGAGGCUCGAAAGCGUGGGGAGCAAACAGGAUUAGAUACCCGAGUAGUC